ACGCGAACACCUGCGUCAUGAUGGCUGGUCUCCGGGCUGAGUCAGAAAACAAAGAUUCUGUUCAGGGAUUGCUAAAUGUCGGGUAGAAGAGUGAACACAAGUUUCAGAAACGACACUCCCCGAUGCCGUCUUUGAUAGGCCUGAACACGCCACGUGCACAAAAGUGUCGGGACACUGUAGACAGAAGUAAAAUCUAACCUUGCGCAGACUUUUCAGCGCCGUUAACACAGAUGAUUAAUUUUGUGGACAAAAAUUUAAAAAUAAAAAAAUGUGGAGAAUUAUUAAGGUUCACAUUUCGUAAAUUUAGUACAAACGCAGAAUUCCAAUGGAACAUCAAAAAGUGAGUCUAUACAUUGCGUUUCAAAUAUGUCUCAUUUCUGGUGCCGAAUUUUUGGAGUUACUAUAGUCUAUUCAGGAUAUGUAUGAAUCAGACAUCGACACUGUUUAGGGGAGCGACAUGACGGCUUCAGAUCGGUUGAGAGCCACGGAAGAUUCUUUUGGCGUGGUUCACGUCAUGCACUCCGCCUCACGCCUUACCACUGCGAACUUAGGACUGACUCUGGAAGUCUAAAACGCCGUAUAUACGACACGUAAUACGAAAACAUAACGAGAUAAAAAUACGUUUGCCACGGACAAUGCACUUCUAUGGAAAAUCCCGAAUUUUUAAAGCUAGAUACUGUUAAAAUAACAAGAUGUUCAUGUUCAACAGUAGUUUCUUUGAAAACAAUACACCGUAUUCUGGAGCCAAACGACACUCUGCUCAUUUUUCACGUUGGGUACUGCAUUCAAUCCUUUUGGGAAAGAACUUCGUGGGAAGUCCCCUGGAACGGCCAGCCGGCGAUUGAAAAACUGUUAUCAUACAAGAGUGAUUCGGUUACUUUGAUUAUUUCCUCGAACAUCGUUAACCAACUGAGGGACACGCAUGUGUUUUCUUUUAGGGAUGGACUAAAUUUCCAAAACAGUAUGAAAAGGCGAUCUGGGCUUAAAAGUGUCAAUUCCUACCACUUCAGCCCAUUUAGUUCUGACAGCUGAAGUCCUCUCGCGAUUAUUAAUUCCCUAAUGGUGAGAAGUCUGGUACUGCAGACGUCAAUGGAGACCCCCAGAGCGACUGAUAGUUAACCGAAGGCUCGAAACUGAUGCGACGGGAAGAUUAUCGAGCACGAAGGACGACGAGUUGUUCGUUCUUACCAGAAGAAAAACUCAGAUAACAACGCCCGUGUGUGUGUUCCUCUUUUAACUUUCAAACCAACUGACCGAUUUUCACCAAAAGGCACAAACAUUACGCCAACCAAGUCCACUUCAAUCUCGUAUCCAAGACUCAGCCAAUUUCAAGGAGACCGCCGAUGAGCAGCAGCAGUGUAGCCGGUGGCGGCUAUUUGAAACGACUGACAAAAUAUCCCUACCUAAACAGCUCCCUUAAUAAUAAACUUUCCCUUUUUUGACACACAUAUAUACAAACUAAAUGUAAUCACAUUUCAUUGCAUGCAGCUGUGAAACAAAAGUCAGGGUGCGUCACAUUAAAAAAUAUAUAGACAAACAGUAAAUUUACAGAACACAGGUUUUGGUCUCUUAUUAAACCUUGUUACAGAAAAAUAACAUAUUAUCUCCAUAAUUCAGAGGGGUUACAUUGAACAUUAAAGUUCCAUAAAUUUUUAGCCUGCAAUUUGGAUCUUCUUUAACUUGGACAAGAAUAUACAUUAUUCAGAACACUUAAUUUUCAUGCAGUG